UAAAAAACCUGGCCCGUUUUGUCUGUCCUCCUUCAUAACUCACACAUAUAUCACGCAACGAUCAACAAGUCCCUCCUUCAACACAAACAACUGGUUAAGAUGAGGACCAUCCACAUCCAGGUGUUGCUCCUGGCCCUCGCCUUGCUCAUGCUAGCAUCAGGCGUGGUAACGGAGGCGUCAAUGGACGGUAGCGCCAAAUUCAACUACAGGUGUGCGGCAACCCUUAUCCCGUCACCAAAGCCAUGUAACAACGACACUUGCGAUAUGGCAUGCUUCGACCUUAGGAAGGUGCCCAAGCAAGGCCAGUGCGAUGCCGUCGGGUGCAAGUGCAUGAUAUGCGAAGACCAGCCUCCACUGUAAAAUGAACAAUAAAUGGGUAGUGACUACAGCUAAGAUGGGACGGCAUGCUCAACGGAAUAAUGCGACGAAAUCUCAAUUGGUAAUCGUCACUGGUAAUCGGCAUAUUGUUGAUAAUGAUGAAUUUGUGCUUGCUUCUUGAAUUAUCUAAAAUUAUGGAAAAGCCAUGCUGCAUGAUGUUUAUC